rnacentral:rRNA from 1 species
AGAGCAUAUGGUGGAUGCCUUGGCACUGAGAGCCGAUGAAAGACGUGAUAAGCUGCGAUAAGCGCCGGGGAGGAGCAAAUAUCCUUUGAUCCGACGAUUUCUGAAUGGGGAAACCCAACUGAAUGAACUUCAGUUACACAUAAGUAAAUACAUAGCUUAUGUGGGGGAACCCGGGGAACUGAAACAUCUAAGUACCCGGAGGAAGAGAAAGAAACAUCGAUUUCCUUAGUAGCGGCGAGCGAACGGGAAAGAGCCCAAACCAUCGUGCGUGCACGAUGGGGUUCGGACUGCAAUAUAUGAGCGACAGGAUAGGAGAACGGUCUGGGAAGUCCGGUCAUAGAGAGUGAAAACCUCGUAUCCGAAAUCCGAAUCGCAGUUAGCAGUAUCCAGAGUACCGCGGGACACGGGAAACCCUGCGGGAAUGAGCGGAGACCACUCCGUAAGGCUAAAUACUACUCAGUGACCGAUAGAGCAUAGUACUGUGAAGGAAAGGUGAAAAGAACCGCGGGAGCGGAGUGAAAGAGAACCUGAAACCAUAUGUUUACAAGCUGUGGAAGCACUUUAUAUGUGCGACCGCGUACUUUUUGUAGAACGGUCCGGCGAGUUACGCUGGCUGGCAAGGUUAAGCCAUCAAGUGGCGGAGCCGAAGGGAAACCAAGCCUGAAUAGGACGAGUUAGUCAGUCAGAGUACACCCGAAACCGGGUGACCUAUCCAUGUCCAGGAUGAAGUUGCCGUAAAAGGCAAUGGAGGUCCGAACACACAUCCGUUGAAAAGGGUGGUGAUGAGGUGUGGAUAGCGGAGAAAUUCCAAUCGAACCCGGAGAUAGCUGGUUCUCCUCGAAAUAGCUUUAGGGCUAGCCUCGAGACAGUCUAAUGGAGGUAGAGCACUGAAUUUCCUAGGGGGCGUCAAAGCCUACCGAAGAAUAUCAAACUCCGAAUGCCAUGUAGAUGAUUCUCGGGAGUCAGACUGCACGAGAUAAGUUGGGUGGUCAAAAGGGAAAGAGCCCAGACCUACAGCUAAGGUCCCAAAGUGCGUGUUAAGUGGAAAAGGAUGUGGGAUUUCGAAGACAACUAGGAUGUUGGCUCAGAAGCAGCCAUACAUUCAAAGAGUGCGUAAUAGCUCACUAGUCGAGAGGUCCUGCGCCGAAAAUGUCCGGGGCUGAAACACCACACCGAAGCUCAGGAAUCACACAUAUGUGUGAUUGGUAGAGGAGCAUUGCAUACGGAAUGAAGCAGUACCGAUAAGGAGCUGUGGACUGUAUGGAAGAGAGAAUGCCGGAAUGAGUAGCGAGAAUGAAGUGAGAAUCUUCAUGGCCGAAUAUCCAAGGUUUCCAGGGUAAAGCUGAUCUGCCCUGGGUUAGUCGGGGCCUAAGGCGAGGCUGAGAAGCGUAGCUGAUGGACAACAGGUUGAAAUUCCUGUACUGCCUUAUAACAGAACUGUGGGGACACAUGUUCAGGUCGCGAGCCGGGAAAGGAAAGCCCGGUGCAAGCAGAGGUUAUCGGUGGGAGGCAAACCCCCCACAAAAGAGAAGACUGCGAUGCGGAGCGAAGAAAAGUAGCGAAGAGCGAUGAGAAUGUGUCGAGAAAAGCCGCUAUUGUUUAUAAGGUACCCGUACCGUAAACCGACACAGGUGGAUGAGGAGAGAAUCCUAAGGCCGGCGGGAGAAGCAUUGUUAAGGAACUCGGCAAAAUGACCCCGUAACUUCGGGAGAAGGGGUGCCCACGAAAGUGGGCCGCAGAGAAUAGGCUCAAGCAACUGUUUAGCAAAAACACAGGUCUAUGCAAAACCGUAAGGUGAGGUAUAUGGGCUGACGCCUGCCCGGUGCUGGAAGGUUAAGAGGAGAGGUUAACGAAAGUGAAGCUUUGAAUUUAAGCCCCAGUAAACGGCGGCCGUAACUAUAACGGUCCUAAGGUAGCGAAAUUCCUUGUCGGGUAAGUUCCGACCCGCACGAAAGGCGUAAUGAUUUGAGCACUGUCUCGACAAUGCACCCGGUGAAAUUGAAGUACCAGUGAAGAUGCUGGUUACCUGCGCCAGGACGGAAAGACCCCAUGGAGCUUUACUCUAGUUUGGUACUGGGGUCCGGUAUUGCAUGUACAGGAUAGGUGGGAGACUGAGAAGUGUGAACGCCAGUUUGCACGGAGUCAUUGUUGGGAUACCACCCCUGCAGUAUUGGGCUUCUAACAGGUAGCCGUAAACCGGCUAAUGGACAAUGCCAGGCGGGGAGUUUGACUGGGGCGGUCGCCUCCGAAAGGGUAUCGGAGGCGCUCAAAGGUUCCCUCAGAAUGGUUGGAAACCAUUCGAAGAGUGCAAAGGCAGAAGGGAGCUUGACUGCGAGACUGACGGGUCGAGCAGGUACGAAAGUAGGACUUAGUGAUCCGGUGGCAUAAAGUGGGAUUGCCAUCGCUCAACGGAUAAAAGCUACCCUGG